rnacentral:rRNA from 1 species
GGAGCAUGUGGCUUAAUUUGACUCAACGCGGGAAAUCUUACCGGGUCCGGACACACUGAGGAUUGACAGAUUAAAGCGCUGGAGUUUUAUUGAUUCUUUUACCUUACUGCUCUUUAAUACUUUUUUGAUAGGGGGUGCAUGGCCGUUCUUAGUCCUUCUAAUGAUCUGUAUACUUAUUUGUGCUUCCCAUCAUUUCACGUACUUACUUAUCUCUUUUUUACCGCUUUAUUACUUUAUAUGUAUUCAAUUUAUUGUAUCAUGUCGCCUAGGGUCUGCAACGAAAGUGACUGUACUUACCUAUUACUCCUGGGAACCCGUCCCACACCUUACUUUGAAAGACCUUUGCAUUUUCUCACGGUUUAUGAAGGAUACGGCAAUAACCGCGGUUUAUGAAAGUUAUCCCCAGCGGACGAUUUAACUGCCUUAACCAGUUUACCAAAGCGGCAUUCCUUUGCGUAAACGUCAAUAGGUCCUUUUUCUCCUCCCAGGCAACCUGACCCACUUCUAUUACUAUAACUCACGGGGGCGUGUAAAGAGGAAUAAAUUGGAUAAUGCUGUAUGGCGGCACACAUGGUUACACGAUAAUCCACAAAUAAUACAGGGCAUUCGCACGGGUCAAACCCCUUUGAAGCACCUGUUAAUUAUAGUAAUUUACCUUUAGGGGGUAAACAAUAUUAAUAUUUCCUCCCCCUUUUACACGAAUCCAUCCAAAAUCCCCCCCCAAAAACGCAGUGUGCCCCCCCGUUCCGCGCGGGGUGGUCCCCUCCCCCCUUUAAAAGUUACCCCCACAAAAUAAAAUG